GAUGAACGCUGGCGGCGUGCCUAAUACAUGCAAGUCGAGCGAACGGACGAGUAGCUUGCUCCUCUGACGUUAGCGGCGGACGGGUGAGUAACACGUGGAUAACCUACCUAUAAGACUGGGAUAACUUCGGGAAACCGGAGCUAAUACCGGAUAAUAUCUUGAACCGCAUGGUUCAAAAGUGAAAGACGGUCUUGCUGUCACUUAUAGAUGGAUCCUCGCUGCAUUAGCUAGUUGGUAAGGUAACGGCUUACCAAGGCAACGAUGCAUAGCCGACCUGAGAGGGUGAUCGGCCACACUGGAACUGAGACACGGUCCAGACUCCUACGGGAGGCAGCAGUAGGGAAUCUUCCGCAAUGGGCGAAAGCCUGACGGAGCAACGCCGCGUGAGUGAUGAAGGUCUUCGGAUCGUAAAACUCUGUUAUUAGGGAAGAACAUAUGUGUAAGUAACUGUGCACAUCUUGACGGUACCUAAUCAGAAAGCCACGGCUAACUACGUG
rnacentral:rRNA from 1 species